rnacentral:misc_RNA from 1 species
CUGAGUGAAAGGCUACCAAGAUACAAAAGCAAAGCUCGAAAAUGCUGAUUUAUCAUCAUUGAUAUUGACAAAUGAAUGACAAGACAAUACAACGGUGUGCUCACAACUGUAGAGUCGAACGGGAGAAAAUAAAACAUAAUGAAGUAAUCGACUUCUAACCAUCAAGAGACACCAUGGGAGAAGGAGCUCCUGAAGUAGGAGAGAGCUGGCAUUGGGGCGUAAGAGCACGAGUGACUGCCCUGAAAUGUCACGUGAUGGCUGCUCAAGGUCUCACUCCUGAGGGGCAGAUUGGACCAGCUUACAAUCCUGAUAUUUUAUUGAGCCAGCCCCAAAAUGCUAAGAUUUUGCAACAGCAUAACAAUGCUGCUGAUGUGGAAGCCUAUGUUGCUGCUGCAAUGAAGAGCACCAGCUCUGCUGCACCAGCUCAAGUGAAGAAAAAUGACUUGCCUUCUUCUAACACAACAUCAGAACCUUCUCCACCUAUUCUCUGUUCUGAACAAGUUUGUUUAGAAAUGUUGCCGAGUGAGUCUGCUCAUGCUCGCGAUCCAGAAAAUAAUGAAGUUAAUUCUCAAAAGGAACUAGAAAUUGUUCAAGAGUGUAUCAAAGGAAGAACAAAUGUUAGUUCAUCCAAUACUGACACAAAAACUGCUAAUAAUAGUUUCACACCAAUUAAAAUGGACAGUGAAUGCAAUAUUAAUAAUAAUAGUUCAUCUGUAAAUAAUAACUUUGGAGGCAAUGAUGCUGAUAAUGACCAUGGAACUCCAGAAAAAUGGCAAUGGAGAGCAACAUUUGAAAGUGACAAUGAAGAUGAUGAUAGCUAUCAUGAGAUGAAUGGUUAUAUGCCAAUAAGUUGUGAAUGUGAUGAAACUUCAGAUCCAUCAGUUGAUUUACCCAAAGAGAGCCCACAGCCAUCUUGUAGUGGUAAUACUUCUGGUACUGCAGGCAAUAGAUCCUCCAAUAAGUGUGAAGAAGACUGCCAAAGUACUAUUUGUGAAACAGUUUGUUUACAAAGCACCACUGCAUGUGUCUGCUGUAAUGCACACAGUAACAGAGUUGCUGAGCUACAACAGGAGUUGCAGAAGCAGAAGCAUGAGAUACAAAAUCUCACAGAAAUCCGAGGAGAGGUUGAGAAUGAACUACAAGAACUUACAGCAAACUUGUUUCAGGAAGCACACAAGAUGGUUAGCUGUGCCAAUCAGAGAGCUGCUGGUGCUGAGAAGAGCCUGAAAGAGGCAAAGAUGGCUGUUGAUGUAUUGUCAGGAGAAGUCACUGCACUCAAAGCUAUGGUGAUGACAUCAACCCCUGCUGCUCCCAAUCUUCACCUUCACUCGCAACUGUCAAGCAGCUGCAGCAGAGGAGCUGCAGUUGGAGGCAGUGCUGCCUGUGCAGUUCCCUCAGCUGAUGCCAAGUCAGCGCCUGCGAUCAUGUUGUCGUCGUCGGCCAAUGGCAACUCCUCUUCUUCAGCAGGAUUGCGUCUCUUCCAUCGCGGUCACAAAAAGUCGCCUUCUGAUUUUGACUUGAAAUACGGAAGAGACAUCACGCCGCCCUCAUCCCCCUUCAAGGGAGCCUUGGCCCAUACUGCUGACGGUGACCUGCGACAGCCCUCUGUAGUCGACUGUGAUGCUUGGGAGGUUGAUCCAGUCUGCCACCGCGAGUUUGUUGCGUGGACGCAGAACGGCGACAUGAACCCUGCAUCUUCAGCUUUCAUGCGGCGCGUGUAUGAAGAAGACAUCAACUUAUGCAUGAACUUUGCGAACACCACACUGAGCCACGCCGUGCUCAAGGCUGUGCAAGAGAAUGAGCUUUUCAUUGAGGAGCUUAAUGUGCGACACCAGCACGCCGCCGCAGCAGCUCACCCGGACGUGACCAGGAAAUGUGUGCUGCUGGACGUGGCUCGUUACUGCAAGUACCGCUUCCGCCUGGGCUGCCAUGAACCACACACCUGGUACUACAUAUCCCAGCUCGCCAGGAACAGGAUAAUUGCUGUGUGCGACUUCUUGAACUACCUUCGCUACAUCAAGCAAGGCCUUGUCAAAAGCUCAGCUCACGAAAUGUACUGGGAGGUUGGGAAGCUGCGCCGCCAAAUGGCUAUGGCGCGACUGGGCUUCUGAAGUGCUGCUGCUGCUGCUGCUGAAGUGCCCAUGGUCUGAAGGCAGACCUGAAGCGCUGGCGUCAUGUCAAUCAAUUUCAACUUCUACAUCACAAUCAAUUAUGAGCAACCAUGACUUUGCAUCAUGCUUUUGUCCGCGAUGUGCAAUAUGUCUACGAUUUCGUGACCGCAAAUAAAUAAUUGUUGUACUGGAUACGUGAGAACCACGUUGAGGAAUAGCUACCUCGCUCCUACGAUCUGAUAUGUCUUCAUCAAUGAGAGUAUGUGCCAAUAUUAUUACCUGGAUGUUAUUUGCACUAGUAAUUUACGUUAUAAUUAGUCGUAAUCUCGUUGUUUUGUAAAUUAUCAGACUUGCAUGUUGUUUUCUCGCCUAUAUCAGGUUUACACUGGAUAUCAAAAGAAUGCAGAAUUAAAUAUGUGAAUUUUUCAAGGCGUCGUGAUAUGUUCGUCUAAAGAAACAAGGAGAAAAAUUUUGGGUUAAAAGAAUCGGUCACGUUCCCGUGAUUCCGUUGAGCGAGAACCAGCAGCUCGUUAUUUUAUUAUUUUUCGUAUAGCCCCUUCAAUUUUUUUGCCGUAUUUGAGUUCAUAAGUUCUGCUAAUUCAAAUUUCAGCUCCAUAAGUAAUUUCACUGCAGAACGAUUCGUUUACAUCGUCAGGAAAUUUUUUGCUGGUCAUCCUAGAGGGCUUCAGCAACACGUAAUAUAUCACAUCUAAUACAUUAUGCACUGAAGGAGAGAAAACUCACAUUGUUAAAUCAGUUCCGCGGCUAUAUAUAAACUCUCCAUGUAAAUAAAAUAUGUAUGAACUAGAAGAAGAAUACGAAUAUACAUAAACUAUUGAUAUUUGAAACGUGCAGAAUAAGUGAUAAUACGACUAAAGAGUAUAGAAUCUACGUAGUAUCUAUAAACUCUAUUGGAUACUCCUUUCCAUUGUACGUUGAGGGAAAGUGGAGUCACUAUCUUCGCUAAUUGCUUAAAGCACGAUCUUUGCUUCAUUAUUUCCCAUUGAUUACAUUGGUUCAUAUAGCUCUGUAUGUGUAUUGUUCAUCGUAGAUCUUACAACCUCUAGCAGGUCGGAAUCUUUUAUCAAUAUUCCUCAAUAUUUAUCGUCGUCUUUGUCUAUAUUUUCUGCCGGGUCAUUCUGCAAAUGUUCUCGCCACUUUAAAGUUGCAUCAUUUUCUGAUUCUCUAUGGUAUAGUUGCAAUUUUUUUCAGUCGCUCUUUUGCCGGUUCAUAAUAUAUUUUUUAAUAAAUUAAUAACUAAUUUUUGUACAGCAAAUUUCCCUUCCUGGCCAUCGUUUUGUUGAUGACGUUUGAUGUCUGCUUUCCAAAACGAGCUGCUAAGUAGGGCUCCUGCUUUCAGUGGCAAUAAUCAAGUUUGGUGAUGGUUUGUCGUGGUCUGCUGGUUGGUUUGGUGAUGGUUUGUCGUGGUCUGCUGGUUGGGUCGCUGAUGGUUUGUCGUGGUCUGCUGGUUGGUUUGGUGAUGGUUUGUCGUGGUCUGCUGGUUGGUUUGGUGAUGGUUUGUCGUGGUCUGCUGGUUGGUUUGGUGAAGAGUCGGCGUGAUUUGCGUGUUGGCUCACCAGUCGUAAAGUCUUGUUAGGAAUGUUUCAAGCUCUCUGAUAAUGUAGUUUUGUGUUCUUGUAGACUCUCAUUGCCUUUGCAUAUCAUCUACAUUGUACUUUGUCACUACUGUCGUAUUAGAUUUUAGUUGAUCAUAACAACUGUAUCUAUUUCUUGAAAUGUGCUGUCAUUUAUAUGAACUUCAGUGUAAAGAAAGAACUUUGUUAGUAGAAUUGUAACCGUUUAUAGGUUGAAGUGGAAGAUUGCGAUCUGAAACUGCGUGAAUAACCACGCGAUAGUUUCAUGCAGCUAAAAUGUUUGCUGCCUCUGUGCAAUACCAACGAUUGGUCGCAGUAUUGCAACAGAAUUAUCUGCUGCUGAAGAGCAGCGCUUAUUAAUUAAACGCUUUUUAUUUGUAGCUUAUGGCAACUAUUAGUUAUUAUAUGAAAAAUAAUUACCUCGAUCAAUUCUUGUUCUAUCCAACGAAGUAUAGAAAAAUAGAUUUUCAGUUAUAUUUGUCGAGCUCAAUGUUGUUGUAAAGAUAAGUAGUUGAUACAUGAUGUAGGCGCAGUUUAUAUUCUAUUAUAUCGUCACAAAUCGUU